rnacentral:rRNA from 1 species
UGGGGAAUCUUGCACAAUGGGCGAAAGCCUGAUGCAGCGACGCCGCGUGGGGGAUGAAGCUUUUCGGAGUGUAAACCCCUUUCGACCCGGACGAAUGCCCCGCAAGGGGACUGACGGUACGGGUAUAAGAAGCCCCGGCUAACUACGUGCCAGCAGCCGCGGUAAGACGUAGGGGGCCAGCGUUGCUCGGAAUUACUGGGUGUAAAGGGUUCGUAGGCGGUGUGGCAAGUCGGGAGUGAAAUCUCUGGGCUCAACCCAGAGUCUGCUUCCGAAACUGCUGUGCUUGAGUGUGGGAGAGGCGCGUGGAAUUGCAGGUGUAGCGGUGAAAUGCGUAGAUAUCUGCAGGAACACCCGUGGCGAAAGCGGCGCGCUGGACCACUACUGACGCUGAGGAACGAAAGCUAGGGGAGCAAACAGG